rnacentral:rRNA from 1 species
UACAGAGGGGGCAAGCGUUAUUCGGAAUUAUUGGGCGUAAAGGGCGCGUAGGCGGCCUGACAAGUGGAAGGUGAAAUCCCUCGGCUUAACCGAGGAACUGCCCUCCAAACUGUUUGGCUUGAGUCCGGGAGAGGUGAGUGGAAUUCCCAGUGUAGCGGUGAAAUGCGUAGAUAUUGGGAGGAACACCAGUGGCGAAGGCGGCUCACUGGACCGGAACUGACGCUAAUGCGCGAAAGCGUGGGGAGCAAACGGG